rnacentral:rRNA from 1 species
GUAGGUGGCAAGCGUUGUCCGGAAUUAUUGGGCGUAAAAGCGCGCGCAGGCGGGGUCCUUUAAGUCUGAUGUGAAAGCCCACGGGCUCAACCGUGGAGGGUCAUUGGAAACUGGGGGACUUGAGUACAGAAGAGGAAAGCGGAAUUCCACGUGUAGCGGUGAAAUGCGUAGAGAUGUGGAGGAACACCAGUGGCGAAGGCGGCUUUCUGGUCUGUAACUGACGCUGAGGCGCGAAAGCGUGGGGAGCAAACAGGAUUAGAUACCCUGGUAGUCCACGCCGUAAACGAUGAGUGCUAAGUGUUAGGGGGUUUCCGCCCCUUAGUGCUGCAGCUAACGCAUUAAGCACUCCGCCUGGGGAGUACGGCCGCAAAGGCUG